rnacentral:sRNA from 1 species
GCUGGGCGUGGUGGUGCAUGCCUGUAAUCCAGCGACUUGAGAAGCUGAGGUGGGAGGAUCUCCAGUUCAGAGCCAGCCUCAGCAACUUAGGGAGGCACUGAGCAACUCAGGGAGACCUUGUCUCUA